rnacentral:rRNA from 1 species
AGUGAACGCUGGCGGUAGGCCUAACACAUGCAAGUCGAACGGCAGCACAGUAAGAGCUUGCUCUUACGGGUGGCGAGUGGCGGACGGGUGAGGAAUACAUCGGAAUCUACUUUUUCGUGGGGGAUAACGUAGGGAAACUUACGCUAAUACCGCAUACGACCUACGGGUGAAAGCAGGGGAUCUUCGGACCUUGCGCGAUUGAAUGAGCCGAUGUCGGAUUAGCUAGUUGGCGGGGUAAAGGCCCACCAAGGCGACGAUCCGUAGCUGGUCUGAGAGGAUGAUCCGCCACACUGGAACUGCGACACGGUCCAGACUCCUACGGGAGGCAGCAGUGGGGAAUAUUGGACAAUGGGCGCAAGCCUGAUCCAGCCAUACCGCGUGGGUGAAGAAGGCCUUCGGGUUGUAAAGCCCUUUUGUUGGGAAAGAAAAGCAGCAGGUUAAUACCCCGCUGUUCUGACGGUACCCAAAGAAUAAGCACCGGCUAACUUCGUG